rnacentral:rRNA from 1 species
UGGGGAAUUUUGGACAAUGGGGGAAACCCUGAUCCAGCCAUCCCGCGUGUGCGAUGAAGGCCUUCGGGUUGUAAAGCACUGUUGGCAGGAAAGAAACGUCAUGGGUUAAUACCCCGUGAAACUGACGGUACCUGCAGAAUAAGCACCGGCUAACUACGUGCCAGCAGCCGCGGUAAUACGUAGGGUGCAAGCGUUAAUCGGAAUUACUGGGCGUAAAGCGUGCGCAGGCGGUUCGGAAAGAAAGAUGUGUAAUCCCCGAGCUCAACUUUGCAGCUGCCUUUUUAACUACCGGGCUAGAGUGUGUCAGAGGGAGGUGGAAUUCCGCGUGUAGCAGUGAAAUGCGUAGAUAUGCGGAGGAACACCGGUGGCGAAGGCAGCCUCCUGGGAUAACACUGCCGCUCAUGCGCGAAAGCGUGGGGAGCAAACAGG